AUACUACUCCCUCCGUCCGGAAAUACUUAUCAGAGAAAUGGAUAAAAAUGGAUGUAUCUAGAAUUAAAAUAUGUCUAGAUACAUCUAUUUCUUCGACAAGUAUUUCCGGAUGGAUGGAGUAUGUG
rnacentral:pre_miRNA from 1 species